rnacentral:misc_RNA from 2 species
AACGCACAUUGCGCCCCUCGGUAUUCCUUGGGGCAUGCCUGUUCGAGCGUCAUCUAAACCCUCAAGCUCUGCUUGGUGUUGGGUGCCUGUCCCGCCUCCGCGCGUGGACUCACCUCAAAUCUAUUGGCGGCCCUCGUGCCGGCCCCGAGCGCAGCAGAAACGCGGUCUCGUGGCCCGGCGGAGGUGCCCCCAGAAGCAACAUUCACCGUUUUGACCUCGGAUCAGGUAGGGAUACCCGCUGAACUUAA